rnacentral:rRNA from 1 species
AUUGAACGCUGGCGGCAUGCCUUACACAUGCGAGUCGAACGGCAGCACGGGAGCAAUCCUGGUGGCGAGUGGCGAACGGGUGAGUAAUAUAUCGGAACGUGCCCAGUCGUGGGGAUAACGUAGCGAAAGCUACGCUAAUACCGCAUACGAUCUAUGGAUGAAAGCGGGGGAUCGCAAGAGCCUCGCGCGAUUGGAGCGGCCGAUAUCAGAUUAGGUAGUUGGUGAGGUAAAGGGCUCACCAAGCCGACGAUCUGUAGCUGGUCUGAGAGGACGACCAGCCACACUGGGACUGAGACACGGCCCAGACUCCUACGGAGGCAGCAGUGGGGAAUUUUGGGACAAUAGGGCGCAAGCCUGAUCCAGCAAUGCCGCGUGCAGGAUGAAGGCC